rnacentral:rRNA from 1 species
AAUCAGGGUUCGAUUCCGGAGAGGGAGCCCGAGAAACGGCUACCACUUCCAAGGAAGGCAGCAGGCGCGCAACUUACCCUAAUCUCGAUUCGAGGAGGUAGUGACAAGAAAUACCGAUGCGGGACCCUACGGGGUGCCGCGUUCGGAAUGAGUACGAUUCGAACCACCUAACGAGGAACGAUCGGAGGGCAAGUCUGGUGCCAGCAGCCGCGGUAAUUCCAGCUCCAAUAGCGUACGUUAAAGUUGCUGCAGUUAAAAAGCUCGUAGUUGAACGUUCGGGUUCCGCGGGACGGGGCCGCCCCGCGAGGGACGGCGCCGCCCCGGGGCUCGUGAUAUCUCAUCUCGCCGCCCGUCGCGAGGCGGACGGAGGGAUGGAUGAGGUUACCUGGAAAAAAUCGGGGC